UGGCAAACAAGGCUUGAGUUAAAAUUCCCAGCACCACAUUAAGCAGAAGGCUUUUCAGAGCUGCCAGGCCCCAGGCCCAGGCAGGGACUCUGCUCCAGUGUCUUCCACGAGAAUGGAAAACUGGGCUCCAGCCUAGCUCCUGAGCAAGCUGACUUUGCAACUCGGCAAGAAGCUCCAUGAAGGAAUCAACAUAGCUGUUGACGGACUCGAAGCUGCCCCGCAGGUGUCGCAGGCCCCAGUCCGAGUAAGAUUCCUCUCCCUUGAGGCUGGGGUCACUCUGAGCCAGGCUGCCCACCAGGCCAAGCCACAGGAGGAAGAAGGCGCAGGGCAGCUCCAUCCUGCACACAGGUCACUCCUGGUUUCAACAACUUGCCGCCUUUUCCUCAUAAACCCUGUGAUUUCUGGCUGGAGACCGGCCCUUAUACAAAAUCACCUGAUACUGCAAACUGCACUCAUGCCAAAGGCGCCUUUCUCUAACUGCCAGGUGCUCUAUCAGAACGUCUCAGGAAGCAGAGGCAGGCUGGAUUCCACAGAAAAAGCUCAGUGAGACCUGAGAUAAGCCAGUAAAGAGCUGCUCCAGACAGAACUGUUUCUGUCCUGGAGAGUGAUAUAGGGGAGCAUAUAGCUUGCUUCUGCCACACUGAGGAACAUACCAAACUGAAUGACUUUAAUCCUUCUCAUGAGGCCAGAUCUACACUUUAAUAAAACUCCCAGAACAGCUCCCCUCCCAAAGCAGCGGCUUUCCAGGAUCUUCUGGAAAAACUUUCAAGACAGAAUCAUCCAAGGCACUCUUCCUGACCCCAUUUAACCAAGUUCCUCUGAGCUCUCUUCAGCUGGGCCCUGAUGACAAAGCUGUUCGUGCUCACCUCCCUACCCUCUCAUCUCUCAGCAGGCUCCUGUCCUUGCUUCAGCGAGACGGCCACAUACUGCUCAGUUAUCUUCUACGUACUGCCACUGCCUCGUCUCUCACUGAAAUCCUCACCACAGUUGCACCCCCACUCCCCAAUGAAGUCUGCCUAUCUUAAAGACACAUCUUCGUGAUGCUCGUUUAACACAGAGCACCCAAAUUUAAGUGGAUUUAGUUAGUUUCACAUACCCGUGCAAAGUCAAAAUGGGGUUCAUACUGUCCUCCAACUCCAUAAUUUGCUACCUGAAGGAAAGAAAUAUGAAUAAGAACUAUUAAUAUUACUACUCAAGUGCACAGAGUUUGCAUAGCAUGGCUAAGGUUCUGAGUCCAAUCCAUAGUAUCAAAGAGAAGGGAGGGAAAAAAACAAGAUUAAAAUUCACAAAAUUCUUAAGAGG